UCUGUUUGAUCCUAGCUCAGGAUGAAUGCUGGCGGCGUGGAUGAGGCAUGCAAGUCGAAUGAAUUUAGAUUCAUGGCAGACGAGGUAGGAACACGUGGGUACGUACCCUAGAGUCAGGGAUAACCCGGCGAAAGUCGGAAUAAUACUUGAUGGUCCCUUCGGGGUAAAGAUUUAUCGCUCUAGGAACGGCCCGCGGGCUAUCAGCUUGUUGGUACGGUAACGGCGUACCAAGGCUACGACGGCUAGGGGAGGUGAGAGCCUGACCCCCACCGAUGGAACUGCGACACGGUCCAUACUCCUACGGGAGGCUGCAGUCGAGAAUCUUCCGCAAUGGACGAAAGUCUGACGGAGCGACGCCGCGUGGUGGAUGAAGCCCUUAGGGGCGUAAACACCUUUUAUGAGGGAGGAAUUUUAUUGACGUUACCUCAUGAAUAAGGGGCUCCCAACUCUGUGCCAGCAGGAGCGGUAAUACAGAGGCCCCAAGCAUUAUCCGGAUUCACUGGGCGUAAAGGGUGCGUAGGCGGUGUUAUUAGUCGGGUGUUAAAUCCUGGGGCUCAACCUCAGAAUCGCAUUCGAAACGGUAACACUAGAAGAAGUAAGAGGUUAGCAGAACUCUCGGUGUAGGGGUGAAAUCCGUUGAUAUCGAGGGGAAUACCAAAUGCGAAGGCAGCUAACUGGGACUUUCUUGACGCUGAGGCACGAAAGCAUGGGUAGCGAAUCGGAUUAGAUACCCGAGUAGUCCAUGCCCUAAACGUUGUCUGUUGGCUUUUGGAGGAAUCGACCCCUUCAGAGGCGAAGCUAACGCGUUAAACAGACCGCCUGGGUAGUACGAGCGCAAGCUUAAAACUCAAAGGAAUAGACGGGGGCUCGCACAAGCGGUGGAUCAUGAGGCUUAAUUCGUCGAUAAGCGAAAAACCUUACCAAGGCUAGAAGAUCGGAAGAGCGUCGUGUAGGGAAAGAGUGUAGAUCUCGGUGGU
rnacentral:rRNA from 1 species